UCUCACGAACCCAAGGCCCUCUCGACUUCCACAGCAAACUUAACUCUCAACACCUGCGCUGCCUCACCGUCUCCUUGAGGUCUCCCCGAUCACUUCUGCCUUCGAUGAUAGCACUGAAACACAACUUUCGCCCGGCACUUGAUAUCCGUAUGCCUUGUAUGGGUUGAAGAGUCCACAGGUACUGUGUGGUCAACAAAUGGAGUGAUGACUGCCCCUCAGCAGGUGAUUUGUUACUAACAGUUCCCAAGAAUAUAGAACUCGCAGCACCACAUAAUAUCACAUGGAGAAGCACCAGUCAAUCAAGAGGCAGAAGGAAGAGAGAGAACAUCAACCCUGUAUCCUUGCUCACUACUCAGAUACCAGCAACAGGUGGGAUGGGUCAGCAGGUAAUGGAAACCAGGAACAUAAUCCAGAUCUCCCACAUGGACGGCAAGGAACAACUCCUUGAACCAUCUGGAAUCAAGAACAGGGCCAGAAUUCAAACUCAGGAGCUUCAAUAAGGGAUGUUGGAAUCCCAAGUGGCAUAUUAGCUUCU